GGACAAUAAAGAGAAUGCUGCUAUCCUGGCCUCUGCCCUUCCACAGUUCUAAUAACUCCCCCACCCCGCAAUUGGUCUUGCUUGAGAGAGCCAUGGUGAGACCACUAGACCUACAGAGCUUGAUGUGGUUACCGAAGCUCUUUAGACCGUCUGCCCUGUUGGCACCCACACAGGUGAAGUUAACUUUGCUGGUGUGGGAUAUGAAUAGAUCCAAAUUGAGCAACUCUACCUUAAUCUCCUUAGCAACUCCAAUUAUGGCUUACCUAUACUGUAUCCCUACUUUCCAUUUGAAACAAAUGGUGUUUCACACAUAUCACCUAGUUACCCAAACUAGGAUUAAAUGACUUCUUAACCCUGAGGUGAACAUACGAUCUCCCACUGACAUCACAAUUGUCAGACAGCCUGCAACGUAGUAAGCCAACUAAGUUGGGAGUUCAAUAUAAAGGCUUGCUAAUAUCCCAGAUAAUAUUCUAAGUGUUGUAUUCAACAACUUUUACUCGGUACCUGUGCAUUUUAUUUCAACAAACUGGUCAACCAC